GAGUGAUUGAUAAUAGACUGCUUGGGUUUCUCCAAAUGUUAAAAAUGACUGGAAGGGAAUGCUUGUUGUGUGGACCCUGUCAUAUAAUUUAUUGAUUUGGGAAGUUUACGGGGAAGGAUAGAUGGGAAAAUAUUAUAGCAUUUUCGAGGAUAAUGCUUGGGUAAUCUCUUUACUUGUGCACUGAAUUUCUGUUGGUUGGUUUGAAAUUUAUGUCAG
rnacentral:misc_RNA from 1 species